rnacentral:rRNA from 1 species
UACAGAGGGUGCAAGCGUUGUUCGGAAUUACUGGGCGUAAAGCGCGUGUAGGCGGCACUACAAGUCGGAUGUGAAAUCCCGCGGCUUAACCGUGGAAGUGCACCCGAAACUGUAGAGCUAGAGUCCCGGAGAGGAUGGUGGAAUACUUGGUGUAGAGGUGAAAUUCGUAGAUAUCAAGUGGAACACCGGUGGCGAAGGCGGCCAUCUGGACGGUGACUGACGCUGAGACGCGAAAGCGUGGGUAGCAAACAGG